GGUUAAGCGACUAAGCGUACACGGUGGAUGCCCUGGCAGUCAGAGGCGAUGAAGGACGUGCUAAUCUGCGAUAAGCGUCGGUAAGGUGAUAUGAACCGUUAUAACCGGCGAUUUCCGAAUGGGGAAACCCAGUGUGAUUCGUCACACUAUCAUUAACUGAAUCCAUAGGUUAAUGAGGCGAACCGGGGGAACUGAAACAUCUAAGUACCCCGAGGAAAAGAAAUCAACCGAGAUUCCCCCAGUAGCGGCGAGCGAACGGGGAGCAGCCCAGAGCCUGAAUCAGUGUGUGUGUUAGUGGAAGUGUCUGGAAAGGCGCGCGAUACAGGGUGACAGCCCCGUACACAAAAAUGCACAUACUGUGAGCUCGAUGAGUAGGGCGGGACACGUGGUAUCCUGUCUGAAUAUGGGGGGACCAUCCUCCAAGGCUAAAUACUCCUGACUGACCGAUAGUGAACCAGUACCGUGAGGGAAAGGCGAAAAGAACCCCGGCGAGGGGAGUGAAAAAGAACCUGAAACCGUGUACGUACAAGCAGUGGGAGCCUCUUUAUGGGGUGACUGCGUACCUUUUGUAUAAUGGGUCAGCGACUUAUAUUCUGUAGCAAGGUUAACCGAAUAGGGGAGCCGAAGGGAAACCGAGUCUUAACUGGGCGUUAAGUUGCAGGGUAUAGACCCGAAACCCGGUGAUCUAGCCAUGGGCAGGUUGAAGGUUGGGUAACACUAACUGGAGGACCGAACCGACUAAUGUUGAAAAAUUAGCGGAUGACUUGUGGCUGGGGGUGAAAGGCCAAUCAAACCGGGAGAUAGCUGGUUCUCCCCGAAAGCUAUUUAGGUAGCGCCUCGUGAAUUCAUCUCCGGGGGUAGAGCACUGUUUCGGCAAGGGGGUCAUCCCGACUUACCAACCCGAUGCAAACUGCGAAUACCGGAGAAUGUUAUCACGGGAGACACACGGCGGGUGCUAACGUCCGUCGUGAAGAGGGAAACAACCCAGACCGCCAGCUAAGGUCCCAAAGUCAUGGUUAAGUGGGAAACGAUGUGGGAAGGCCCAGACAGCCAGGAUGUUGGCUUAGAAGCAGCCAUCAUUUAAAGAAAGCGUAAUAGCUCACUGGUCGAGUCGGCCUGCGCGGAAGAUGUAACGGGGCUAAACCAUGCACCGAAGCUGCGGCAGCGACACUAUGUGUUGUUGGGUAGGGGAGCGUUCUGUAAGCCUGUGAAGGUGUGCUGUGAGGCAUGCUGGAGGUAUCAGAAGUG
rnacentral:rRNA from 1 species